ensembl:lncRNA
CAACAGAGGAGGAGUGCAGCGGCCCAGGGCCAGAACAACCAGAGUAGCAUGACCAAAGAACUACAGACUCUUCACAACCUGCUCAAACUCUUGGUACAGGACCUCACCACACGGGUCAAGAAGGUUUCUGUCUCAUUUCUACUCUGAAGCUCACCUUCUGCUCAAACUGCUGACAAAUGUUUCUGCUGCUCUAAAGUCUGGUCUCCAGAACUUCCUAAAAACUCUCAAAGUCUCUUCUGCUGCAGGUUGCUUUGUAGAACUGUUCCAGAAAACCUCACUAAACUACAUGGAGGGGCCUCAAGAUAGUCGUCCAAAUGAAACCAUACAAAAACCAAACUAGCACAACCCAAACACUAAAGUCUCCUGCAGCCUACCAGAGAAGCUCUGAGAACAGAGAAUCAGGACAGGAACUCUUACCUUCUGGACAACCAACGUUGGUUCUCAAACAAGAAUACAGAAUGUGUCUGACCAAAAACCUCUAAAGACUCACUACAGCCAAGAUAAAGACACAACUCAGCUGCAUCAAAUCCACUAAUCACUGCACACAUUAGCACCAUGUGCUAACUGUGGCUAAAGAACCACAUUUACCAAGACAACUAUCCAGUACAAAGCCCUAAAACACACCAAGAAACACAUUAAAGACGAUUUUACUGCUGGAAGCUGCAAGCCAACGCCUAAAGAACAAACUAAAGCAACGGAACCAAACCCGGUUCUGUGGUGAAGAGAAACAGAGGAAAUGUUUGUCUGCAGCUAAAUAAAGCAGGAAGACACUGAGCUGCUCAGGUGUUCCUGAUAACACCAAGCAGCCACCUGGACAGCCAAUAGGAACACAGCUUCCUGGAAGUCCAGAGGGCUGGCUUAGUGAAGGAAAUUUAGUUUAAAGUUGAAGCAGAAAGUUAACAAAGAAAGUUGAAAACCACCUUCUGAUCCCUGAAAUCUCUGAGUUUUCACACAAAGAACACCUGAACAUGUCAAACCGGUUCCAUAGUAGAACCAUCAUUGUAAAAACAUCAUAGUAUGGUGUGUUGCUCAAAAUACAUUAGGACCCGACUGUCUAGGGUCGC